rnacentral:rRNA from 1 species
GAUCAUGGCUCAGAACGAACGCUGGCGGCAGGCUUAACACAUGCAAGUUCAACGGGAUUUGUAUGGUGCUUGCACCAUGUAAUGAGAGUAGCGCACUGGUGAGUAACACGUGGGAACAUACCUUGAAGUGGGGGACAACAGUUGGAAACGACUGCUAAUACCGCAUAAUCCCUGAGUGGGAAAGAUUUAUCGCUUUAAGAUUGGCCCGCGGAAGAUUAGGUAGUUGGUGGGGUAAAGGCCUACCAAG